AUUCGUAAAAUUGUUCGUACAAGAAAUCAUAACGCCAAAGGAAUAUGAAAUGGUUACUUAAAACUUUACUCUUUAACAAUUGGGACUAAUUAUAAUAUCAACAAGAAAAGUACUACUUCACACAUAAAAGAUAUACAAAGUAUUUAUUUAUACAUGUGAAACAAUAGAGUACAAUUUUGCUUGCUUACCUACGAGUACGUCAUACUAUAUUCUGCCGCCAAGAUACAUUAAGGGUUAUUGAUUGAUUGGGUUAGUAUUGCUAGCCACUCACCAUCCAAUAAGUCCACGUGCCUGCAGCGCUAAAGGCAGGACAUCCGAUGAAACUGAUCGUGUGUUGGUCGGGAUGUGCAUAAAAUUCGUGCAGAUUUAAGAUGGCGAGUGAUUAGCAUAAGGUUACAUGCAGUGCAUUGUAAUUUGUAGCAUAUUAAGAGUAUGUUCUUAGCGAAAUCUGUGAUUAUUGGUUUGUAAAUACAAUUCAAUGUGAUUUUAUUUGGUUCAUAACCAAUUUUUAUUAGUAUUUAGUUAAGUAAUAUGUACCAAAGAUUAAUUAUAGAAAGGGAAAUAAAUAUAAUAUAAAUAGAGGUCUUUUGCCCAUAAAUAUUUUAAAAAUGAAUUUUAUUGAAUAUAAUCAAUGCCAGUAAUGACAGAGAUUAGUCAACAAUAAUAAAUGUAUUAAAAAUCCAGUUCUUGUAAAUUAUUAAAAGAAAAUUAAUGUAAAAACAAAAUUUUAAACAAUUAAAACAAAAAGAUAGUUUUUUUUUAUUUUUAUACAUUUUACUAUUGUUAAGAGUUUCGAGCAGUGAUAGCCCAGUGGAUAUGACCUCUGCCUCCGAUUCCGGAGGGUGUGGGUUCGAAUCCUGUCCGGGGCAUGCACCUCCAACUUUUCAGUUGUGUGCUUUUAAGAAAUUAAAUAUCACGUGUCUCAAUUGGUGAAGGAAAACAUCGUGAGGAAACCUGCAUACCAAAGAAUUAUCUUCAUUCUCUGCGUGUGUGAAGUCUGCCAAUCCGCAUUGGGCCAGCGUGGUGGACUAUUGGCCUAACCCCUCUCAUUCUGAGAGGAGACUCGAGCUCAGCAGUGAGCCGAAUAUGGGUUGAUGACGACGAAGAGUUUCACUAUUUUCUUUCAUAGAUUAAUACAAUAGAUCCUUAUUAUUUUAUUGAAAAUCAAGUUCACGGUUAAAUAAUAUGAAAUUGAGUAAGAAUUAAACUUGAACUUGACUUUUUCCUAACGUUGGCAUACAUUUAUCAACGAAAUACUCACUGACAAACAUGCUUAUGCAUUCAGUUAAUAGUUACUCUACCACGAUUUCGGACAGCCAAUUCUUUCGAAAAUAACCAGCAAGAAACUCAGCAUUAUGUUGUUUUAAAAUAAAUGUCUAUACUUCUUGACUAAUAUUAUAACGAGGUAAAGUUUGAGCGCUAACGUCCGUUAAGAAAACACUCGUGCGAAUGAUUACUGAAGAGCUAACGAAGUAUUCCUGCCCCUAGUGACCCUGCUUCCUGCAUCCAUGGCCGUGGGUACGAUUCCCACAACUGGAAAAUAUUUGUGUGAUGAGCAUGGGUGUUUUCCAGUGUCUGAGUGUAUUUAUACAUUAUAUAAUUAUUUAUAUGUAGUAUAUAAUUGUAUAUUAAUAUUGUAAUAUCAACUAUCUUAGCACCCAUAACACAAGCUACUCUGUAUGCUUACUUUGGGGCCAGAUAGUGAUGUGUAUUGUUUAAGUACAUUUAUUUAUUUAUUUUAUUUAUUUAUUUAUUCAGUCGUGUAGUCUAAAGCAGACUUUUUUAUGUUCAAAUACUCCAGGAAAACUGAUACAAUUCACGAACGGGAAGCGAAUGUACCUCCUUCACGGCUAUACGUUCUCAAAGAAUAGCUUAAAGGUACCGCUACCCGUUGGAUUUGCUCGCAGCACAUCAAAUGCCCAGUGUACGUCCAUCUGAACCACCAGCACGAAGUACUGCAUGUUGCGCCGAUCAGUCAUGGACACCCGCCUCCAAUUACACAGACUCGCUAACGGAGACUACAUUAGACUAUAGGAGUUAUAUUUCUUACAGUCGAGGUCGCAGCGUUCAAGUUGUUGAUGAUUAAAAAAAAUUGUCAAAUGACGAUGGUUUAAUUUUAAAAAUAAAAGGAUUUAAAAGUUAAAUUGAUUUUUUUCACAUUGGAUUUCUCUAUGCAAUGGAUUUCUCUAUGGAUUUCUAUUAUUUAGAUUUACUCGUAAAUCUUUAUAUAGGCUUUUGGUACGUAGUUGGAGUUGAGUUGUUGAACUGAGAGAGCUUCAAUUUUGGAGUUUAUUUUGAACAAUUGGGUCUUCUAGUGAAUAUUUUCUGCGUCAAUUUACUAUAUGAUUAUUCUAUGUAGCCACAGUGCCCACUUUUAUAAUGCAUAUCACUCAAUACUACACUACACCUUCAAAUUAAAAAUUAAUUUAUUUCAAGUAGGCUUAGUUUACAAGCAGUUUUGAAACGUCAAGUUUGACUAUCUGUAACUCUACCACCGAUUCGGAAGGCAGGUUCUGAUGACAAGAGCCGGCAAGAAACUCAACAGUUGCUCUUUUAAACAAAAAAUCACACAAUAUUACAAUAAUCUACAAUUGUUAACAUCAUUAUUUAUUUGUGAAGGUAGAAGCUGAUCCAAUGGCCUCCAAACAUCUUCUUUAUGUCCAUCCUUAAAUUUUAAUAUUACUUCUAGGUACCCUCAUACUAUGCGGAAAAAAGUGGUUGUAUCUUCACAACGAGUACACAUUUUACAGGCACACACUGCUUCGAAAGGGUGCGGCGUAUCGCUGGGAUUGCACACGGAAUCGGUCAUGUCCAGCUUACGUCCACCUGGACUGUGACCACAACUUGAUAUUCCAACCGCCCUUCGAACAUACCCAUCCGCCUACAAGACUGAUGAGGUUGCGCGACGGUUCUUAUAUCAAAAUAUGAAACCGAACACUCUGUAUGCCCUGGUUAGCUAUAUUACAAUUUGUUAUUCAAAGAAAUAGGAAGCUUCUUAUUUCCACAACACUAAAAAUUAUAUACGUUGCUAAAAACAACAUUACGAAAACAACAUAAAAAAUAAAAUUAAUCACACAGGGAUACAUACGAAUUCGAAACUCACUCUGUCGAGUUACAAAAUAGUUGUUACAGGAUAGCGCUUCAGUAAUAAUAGUAGGUUAAUUGUUACAGAAACGAAAACCUACGCAUAAUUUUUAUAGUUUGUAAUUAUUUGAAUAUAUUUAAUGUUUUCAAAAGUACUGGCUUUAAUAUUUUUUAAAUAUUGUAACACCUGUACUGCUUGCUGCCGUUUAUGCAAAAUGGCAUAAAUGUAAUUUAACCAGAAUAUCAUCAAAAAUCACAUUCAGAGACCAAUGAUUUGUCUAUAACAUCGCUACAAUUCGCCCAAUAAUAAAUCUUUUCUACCUAAGUGUUUAGUAUGACGAUGAUGAAGGCAGGUCACCAUAAAAAAGAAAAAAAUGCCUAUAAAGUUUAUUUUUAUAUCAGAUUUCUUGCAUUUUCACCACCUUGCACAGGGUUGAUACAGUUCGGGUAUAGGAAGAUUAUAGUACGUGCAAAGUUACACUUUAUACAAGCAAUAAAAUUCUGAUAGGAGCCGCCUCUAGGUGUGUGUGCACCAUACGUUGUUGUCACAUACCUACAUAUAUACAUUCAUCUAGAUGAAUACCUAAACCCCCCUUAAAUGCCAACACCUUCAUCCGUGCAUACGUGUCCGCAAGGCACGUGGAACGUAUAGUCGAAGUAGUCGGGCAUACUCCGACCUAAUAUCACGAGAUAGUCGUGUUUCAUAAUCACGUGGAAGAUAUGUUAGGAUUUAGCGUUCUGUUUCUUAUACCCUAUCAGAUUCAUCAACUUUUAAUGAAUAAUGUCUAACAAGUUUCAAAAUAAAUACAAAUUACAUCGAAUUAGUCGGUUAAACGACCAUUAACCCUAAAUAGAUAGCUAACCUUCGCCGAUUCGACGGGCAUCGCACAGAAAUACCGCUGAAAAUGUUUCAUCUCGGCUCAACUCAGUCGCCAGCGAGGUCUCCGCGGUAGUAGUGCAUAGAAUCUCAUAAACCAUGGAAGAUUUUGUGGAAGAAGACGAUAGUGACUAGAAUUAUGAACUAUCUGAUUCCGAAGAAACUCAUGUACGUACACCUCGAGACGUCUUGUCCUCAGCUAUAUAACAUUAUUUUAUCUACGUCAUGCCCUAGUAAGACACCAGAAACCUCAUUCAACUGCCUCAGAGGAUCGGACGAGGUAAAAACCGACAAGGGCUGGGCUACCGCUAAAGGGUAGAAUUCCUCCAUACCACCACCACCAGCAAAUCCUCGCAGACGCUUCAUGAAAAUUCUACAUUUUCAACUUGCAGAGCCACGGUUAAAGAUAAGGUUGAUCAAAAUCAAGAUGUCAAUGCUGGGGAAAGAUAAAAUCAAGAGCCUGAUUUCAGCACACCCGUCUACUAACUUAGAUCAGCAGUCAACGGGUAGAUCAAGUCAGGCUCCUCUGGGAGGACCAGAACAUGAAGAGUGCGAACCAUCGACUUCCUCGGGAGGAGAAAAACGCAAACGAAGAACGUGUGGGAAGUGCCACUACAAGAAAAAGCGUAUGACAAAAAGUGUUUGCGCAAUUUGUAAAGUAGCGAUAUGUGGCGAACAUAAAAUUGACUUUUGUGUUACAUGCGCUAAUGAAAAAUAAAAUAAUUUUUAUUGUGCUAAUUUUUCUAGGAAUCUCAUUUUCGUUAUAGUUGGGGAUUGGGGUGAGGUAAGUUUAUUAAAAUAUAUAAUUUAAUAAUUAAAACUUAAAAUUCAAAUACUUUGUUUUCAUUUACCUUAAAACAGAAAAUAUGUUUAUGUUUAUAUUUUUUUGUGGUGCAAAAUACUUUUUUUUAUAUACAUACCUACCCAUUGUGCCGACGGAUAGUAAGCAUUUUUUAAAGAAUAUUUGCUGUAUAUUUUUUUUAAUAUGACCAAUAUUCCCAUUCCCCUUCAACUAGUCGAAUAAGACUGUAUUAGGAGUGGGUACGACAAUAGUCCAACGGGGCGGGGAUCGAAUCACCACUUAAGUUGAGCUACUGAAGCUUAAACGUAGUAUGUCCCCCGUUGGCUAUCUAGGGUUAGAAAAUAAAGACUCUAUAAUUUCUGGUAACAGAAUGGUUUUCUUUCCAACAUCUGCCUAUUAGAUUUCUGUUGUAAAAAUCUAUAAGUAGCUUUAUAUAAAACAGAUGAAUCCAAAUCGUGGCCCGCAUGUUAUCUGAAACACUGUUGAUAUGUAAAAUCAGUACCCAAAAUAGCUGCGUUUGAGGUUUAACCGACUUGGGCGGGGACAUUAAUCGUUGUCGUGUUCUAGUCGUAGUAAUAAUAGAUAAUCCUAAAACAUUGUUAAAGGUUUAUUUGUUCCCGCUAAGAACAAGCCUUUAACGCCUGCUGAGCGGCAGCGACGAUACCGGGAACGGCUUAAAAACAAUCCAGAAAAGGAAACCAAAAGAAAAGAUCUAGAAAGAUACCAUGCAAAGAAACGCUUAGCACAAGAUUUAGGAACACGUAAACAUCGAGCAUUAAAAAAGAAAUGGCGAUCUGCGAACGCUAGACGGAGAGAGAGAGCAAGACUUCUCCAAAUUAAAAGCACACUCCAAGGCGUGAUUACCACGUUCAAAUGUUCCAGCCCUUAAAAGUUAAAAUCAAGGUAUUUCAAGAGCAUAUCGGUUCGACUUCAUACCUGUAGUUUAGACCCCUGAAAAUUAUUAAUCCAUCAACGGCUGCAAGAGAUUAUAUCUAAAUGAUCUGAGGAACAAAUAAAGAAAAGAGACAGAACGAAAAGGAUAAAUUAUUUAGAUAUAUAUAUAUAUAUAUGUACCAUAAAAUUGGUAUAUCUAAAGCAUCUGAGAAACGAAUAACGAGAAGAGGCAGAACGAAAAUAAUAAGUUAAUUACAUAAAUAGGAAUAAAAUUUUUUUUUUACAACGCUAUCUAUUAUCUAUUAAUAAUAAAAACAAUCCAGAAAAUAAAGCAGAAUCUAAAAGAAAAAAUCUGGUACGAUAUUUCGGAACAGGUAAGCAACGAGCGGCUAAAAAUAAAAGACGACAUUUAGCAUUCAGAGAAUGCUAAACGCAGAGGGACAGAGUUUUUCGUAAUAAAAAGCACACUGCAAAGGCGUUAUGAUUUCUUUUACAUAAAAUCCGUGUGAUGCGAUGCGUAUGAUGUGGACGCCUGCCGUAUAUCGGCAACAAAGUUUUAUCAAAAGCCAUAAAAUUACCAACAUUAAACUUUUUUGGAUACUCGGAGAAUACACCAGUUUCAACACAAUUUUUUUUUUACAAUUCUGUUUACAAUCUGUGGUAUUUUGCUUAGUUCAGAUGGCAAGCUAAAUUAGAACAUUUUUGGAGAGGAUUUUUUUUCAAUAUUUAUUUUUGGAAAUAGUCCAUAUAUAUGUGAAUCGAUAUCUAGCAUCAAUACAAAUACCUAUAGUACCAAAACCAAAUAAAGCAGCUCGUGUCCGCAGUUGAUGAUAUCUUAAUUAUGUAAUGAGGAGAUCCGCAGAAGAACCAAAGUCACCGACAUAGCUCAAUAAGUCGCGAAGCUGAAGUGGCAAUUGGUGGGGCACAUAGUUCGCAGAGCAGAUAUACUUUGGGGUCUCAAGUCAAGGUCUGCUGGAACGGCAACCACGAACUAGAAAGCACAGUGUUGGUCGUCCCCCCACCAGAUGGACUGACGACAUCAACCGAGUCGCCGGGAUUCGCUGGAUGCAAGCGGCAUAGGAUCGUGAUAUUUGGAAGUCCCUACAAAAAGCCUAUGUCCUGCAGUGAACGUGAAUUUACUGAUAUGAUGAUGAUGGUGAUAAAAUUAUGUAAGUGGCCAUCUUAUAAUAAGUGAAAUCGUCUCCAAAAUCGUAAAAGUUCGUAAAUUUAUUUUACAAUUUUUUUUUCGAUUCUAGAGCUUACUAUAUAGGUAGAUACGUACCUAAUACAGACCUCAGAAAAAAAAAUAUUUUGAUUUUUUACAUAUUUGUUCAAGCAACAAUCAUAGAGUAAUGGAACGAAUUCCAUAGCGGUCUUUGAUAGUAGUAAGCUAAGCUUGAAGCAUGCUUUAACAUUUUUAGAAUGAAGCUUUAUUUUAUUUUCGUUAAAAUCGGACGUAAGGUAUAAAAGUUAUUCGAAAAAAUCGGGUAUUCGCUAAUCAUGAUCAAAUGACGUGGUAAAAGCUUUUAAAUUGAUUAAGUCAUCAAUUAGUAAUAAAUCACAGUACUCUAAAGCUUAGUAUAACUAGCUCACUUUUUGCAGUUAUUUAGCUAAGCUAAAGUAGUCAUGUCAUUCUGACGGUAUUAUCUUUACUCAGUAAUCAUUGCCAUUAUGAGAUGCCCUUUGUUUGUUUAAGCAAGCGCUUAGCUGCAAUCACGCCUGACGGUAAACGGUAAUGUAUGCUAUGGUGGAACGCGCUUGCCUAGAAGAUGCCUAUUCACUCUUGACUUGAAGAUAUAUGUGGUGGGGGAAACAGAAGCUGGAAGAGCAUUCCACAUAUUUGCAGUGCGUAUAAGGAAAGAGGUACUUAACCGCUUAGUACGCGUCCGAGGAAUGUCGACGACAAUUGUUAUUUUAAGGUCUUCCUCCAGAAUUGGAUUUGGAGCUUAAAGUUUUCAUAUAUAUACGGGUUAGAGAGCUUAGGGUGAUACUAUCAGAUGUUAUUGAUAAUGAUCUCACAUAGUGUUUAAUACAAUGUAUCUACAGAGAACAAUAGUCCACGUUGAUAUUCCAUUUCAGUAAACAUAUUCAUGACGUCACGCGGUAAGGAGCGCUUGGUGUACGACAACUUUACGUACUACAAGCAGAGCCGCACACGCAGCGGCUUCAGGUGGGGAUGCACCAAGAACAGGUGGCACCGGUGCAAGGCGUACCUCCAUCUGGCUGAUGAUCUCACUAUCGUAAGGAGUAACAUGGUACACACGCAUCCGGCUUGCUAUUAAAUGAAACUCAGUACACAUAGUUAAAGAAAACCUAUUUAUGUACAUUGUACCUACCUACACAUUACAAUCACGUUAUUCUUAUAUCAGCCACUGACGAUCAAGUAAGCUCACAUGCCUGCAGCGCGUCAUCAGUUUUAUCGGCUGUCAAACCGUUAGUGCUGCAGGCAUGUGUGGCACUUGAUGGUCAGUGGCUGACUUUAGCUUCGGAGAGCACGUUAUGGCGUUUACUAGUCAGUGGAAGUAAUGUUUGAUAAAAUUAUCUCUAAAGAGACUCGAAUUUUGCCAAUAUGCACUCGAGCUAUGUACCUUUUUAAAGCUAUACAUUGUCUCCACUUGAUGGCCUUAUGAAAAUUCGUUGAUUAAUAUUAUUUUAGUUAGUAAAGUUUUCUGUUAAAUAUAUUCGUAAGGUUUUUAUCAACAUUACUUUGAUGGGUUACUCAUCUGUGAAAUACUACAUUCUUCUUAGAAAAAGAAGUUAAACGAGAUCAAAAAUUUUAUUGAAAAGCUAAAACUUAUUGAACAAUCAUAAGAGGCAAAAAGCGAGUAAUUACAUUUAAAACCGCUGCGAACUCUAGGCUAGAUUUUUGCAGUAUUCUGCCGUGUAAACGGUUCGGUGUACAACGUAUAUGCGACUAUUUAUUUGUUAAAACAUUUACUGUAAAAACGUGCAGGAUCUAGACUUACCGCCGUUUUCAAUAACCUAUCUAUCCGCCAUUUCGCUUACUAUCUUUUUGUUCUUAUCUGCUUUUCAAUAACCUACUGACAGAUAGUUUGACUAUGUAAAGAUAGUUUGAGUGUUACUGUUAAUCGAGGAUAGCUAUCUAUCCGUAAUCUUGGAUAAGUUAUAGAAAACGGCCGAUAGUCCCCAAUGCCAGUCAGUACUCACCUUAACGACUCUACCGAAGAAUUCCUUUUCACAAUCACAAAAUGCAAUAGAUGUUGGUAUGUCUCACAUAAAUUCUCACUAUGCCUUUGAGCCGAGAUAUGGGUAGAGUGGUCUUAUAUCACGUUUUGGUGCUAUUAGUGAUGGCGGUUAUAGUGAAAGACUGUUGAAUGAUGUCUGUGCUAACUGAUGUGUUAUUUUUUAUUUUUAUUAAAAGUAUUAUAAAAUAUAUUUAGUUUUCUGUCCAGGGAAAUGUAUAUUACGUUAUUUCGUAUAUUGAUUUUUAUUAUUGAUAAGAUGGUGAAGACACGUAUUCAUUAAUAUACAUUUUGUUGUUAUUGUUACUAAUACAAAUUGUCGUAUCUGUUAUUUUAUGUCUCAGAAACAAAAAUGAAUAUUGAAUCAUGUUUUACGAUUUAUCAGUACUUAAUAUAUAUUGUACUUUUUUCUACAAUAUUAUCUACAAGUUAAGCCAUUGACUACAAUCUCACCAGAUUGUAAGUGAUGAUGCAGUCUAAGAUGGAAGCGGGCUAACUUGUUAGGUGGAGGAUGAAAAUCCACACCCCUUUUCACUUUAACAUUAGCUGUGAUUUGAUUCCUCUUAGUAGUCGAAUCAUGUUCCAGGUAUUCGAAUCAGAUGUAUAUUAGUGAAUACUUGGCUUUAGAAGGGCCAUUGCACACGUAUAUACGUAAUUAAUGUAGAGCUUCAUAAAGUUUUAAGAAUAGAGUACCUAUACAAUUAUUUCCUAUUUUUUUUUUAACUUUCCAUAUUUGUUUUCUAAGAUAAAAAUUAUUUGCUUAAUUUUAAAUACAGUCCAUGAAAUUCACUCACUGGCGUUUCUUUUUUUUUGUGCUUUUAAUAUUUGAAUAUGUAAGCAAAAACACAAUUACAUAGUCACAGGUAGACACGAUGAAACAAACCAGAGACACGUGUGAGUGAAUUGCAAUAUGUAUUAAGAUUGUUUUUUAGAUAUAAUAGAUUUAGAUGUAAUAAAGUGACCAUAAUUUUAAUAUUCCUAUGAUCUCAAUCGAUCUCUGUGUAAAAAUUCUAGUCGUUUUUAGUGAUUGAUGUUAAAAUUAUCUGUGAUUUAUUUUUAAUAUAAUUUUUAAAUUAUGAAUUAUUGUUAUACUGUGCUUCAUAUUUAUGUCAAUUGAAUGUUAAUUACAUAUCACAGUAGUCAUUUGAUUUGCAUUGCCUUAAAAACAAAUAAAUGUAAUUACCUUACUAGAUACUAGGUUUAGUCAUUUAAAAAAAAUAAUUUUUGGCUUUUAAUGAAGUUGUUUAAAGACCACACACAAUAAUAUUUUCAAUAAGCAAUAUUGGGUGAGAUUUCUCAAAUUCUUUUUUUUAAUUUUUUUUUUUUUUAUUAUUCUUUACAAGUUAGCCCUUGACUACAAUCUCACCUGAUGCAAUCUAAGAUGGAAGCGGGCCAACUUGUUAGGAGGAGGAUGAAAAUCCACACCCCUUUCGGUUUCUACCGACGCCGUCUUACUUGUAAGUAAUAUUACAGUGUUAUCUCCUUAUAUUAGGGGUACAACUAAAGAAACCUUACCCAAUUUUAUUAUUGUGUAUGUUAGUGAAAUCUAAGAUGUUGACUAAGUAGACAAUAUUCUCUUUGGUAAUUUUAUUUUCGUAAAUGUCUGUUUCUUUUCAAUCUAGAUUUUACCAAAGUAUUACACCACAAAUAGCGCACAAGAUCUUUUAAUUUAUAUUUUUUUGUAACAUAAAAUGUAAUAAAAUUAUAUCAGGUUAUGUUAUUUUUAAUGUUUAUUUGUUAUACAAUUAAAAUAAAUGUUGUUAUAACAGAAUCUGUAAAUGAAUACGAGUAUUAUUGUGCGUGUUUCAUAUUGUGUGACAAAAUGAAUUGCACUUGCGUCUUUUGAAAUUAUAACUUAUGUUAUAGUUAUUUUAUCUAAUAUAAAAUCUUAUCAUCUAUUUUUACUCAGUAGUUUUUAUUUUACUACCAAUACAUGAGUUUUGAAGUAAAUGAAAUGACAAAUAUACGGUAAGCUUGUCGUCUUUAAAUUAUUAUCGAUAAAUUAUGUUAUUAACCUUGAAAUUAAAUCAUUUAUGUUAAUUAACUAAAAUUCUUUAUUAAUUUUCAAGUCUAUUUGAAGAAAACUAACCUUUUUUUUUAAUUUUUCACUAAAUUGUAAGUUUUACAUAUUGUUUCGAAUCAAAUGACACCUUGUACAUACAUUUCCGUGGCUGUUAAAUAAAGCUAGCCAAAAAAAAGGGUGUGUCAUCUCCGACGCACGAAUGGAGUUUACUCUUAUAGAUCGACUGUCUUAAUAGUUGUAUGUUGCCCCUCAGCAUACACUAUGUACGUAUCAAUACCUACGCCUGAAAAGUGAAAGGUGCGCAACCGAGGAGCAGCAAGCCGCGGCGUGCGCGCGCCUCAGACCAACUAUUGUAUAGGACCAGCCUCGCUAGGUGUUACUUUUCUGUCAAACUAUAUGAUCGACGAUCUAAUGCGAUUAUAAAAGCUGUCUCUACAGAAUCGAUGUUAAAUAGUUGUAAACGCAUUCGUCGAUUAAAGAGCUCCGUAAAAAUACCUUUUUGUUUAGUUGAAUGGUGUAAAAAACGGACAAAACUUCUAGUUUAGUAUAAGAUAUAUACCAAAUCUAAGCUCGUUUUCCUCAGAAAAUGACCGACAAUUUUGUUUGUGACUAUGAGUGCGAUACAGGUCCUUCUAUAAUUGGUCUGAGGCGCGCGCAGAAUAGGUUGCGCACAAAAAACGUAACGCUGUCAUUCGUUCAUCGAAUUUUACUGCCCAUAUUUUUUCAUACCGGGGGCUAUAUAUGAAAAAUCGAUUCUUAAGAAGUAAACUCCAAAAAAAAAAAAACAUCUGUGAGUCAGACUAUAUUGACACAAGUCUAUAUGUAUGUGUUAUGAUCUCUCUUUUAGCAACUUAUAUCACACUGACCAGAGGCUCUAGGCUCCUUAUGUAUGACAACUACACAUACUUCAAGAGCGGAACUAUCCGAGACGGCGGCAACAGAUACACUUGCUCUUGUUACUCUAAGCAGAAAUGCAAAGCUCACCUUCACGUUAAUAAGGAUGACGUCAUCAUCUAUAGUAACGCAGAACACAAUCACCCUCCGCAGAAGUUUAUGAGAACGCACGGUGGACUGUAUGCUAGGGUGGAUUGGUAAGUGUUCAUUUACACGAGCGGCAGCUGCUACCGACGACUGCAGUCGGCGGCAGGCGAGGGCGUCGCCGAAUACAGGCAGCGAUGUCUCGGCGGCAGUCAACGGAAGUUGAUGGCAAUGGGCGACCGCCGUCGACCGCCGAUGAGAGUCGACUGCAGUCUAGGACGCGCUUUCGCCUGCCGCGCAACGUCGCUGACUGCAGUCAACUGCCAUUGGCAGCCACCGAGACUUCGCCGACUGCAGUCAACUACCGUUGGCUGCCGCCGAGACGUCGCUGACUGCAGUUGACUGCGAUCGUCGGUAGAGUUGUCGCUCGUAUAAAUGAACCCUAAGACUGUUAAACUACAACAAUUUUUGCUUCAUUAAUUUUUAUCGGACUUGUCAAGCCACCGUAUAUCCACAUAUGGAACCAUAGGAGAAAAAUUAUACCUAAAAUUAUCCUUUGAUAGUAAAGUUUAAUUGAUUUGAAAAUUUUAAAAGAAACUAUUUGCUAAACACAUAAUAUAAUAAGUAACUAUUAAGAAAUGUUGUCUUAUUUUAACAUUUAUACAAAACACAUAAUAUAGUUAAACUUCAUUAUAUUUGGCAACCUAACUUGGCAACCUAAUAGUGUACUUUAUAUAAUUUGUGCUGUGGAAAACUUAAAACAAGAGUAAACGAAAGUAGCAACAUGAUUUUCUGAGACCAUCGAAAACACACUUGGCUUUUAACGCAGUUGUUGUAGUGCAAAUUUCUACGUAUACUAGAGAACUACCUUAUUUCCCUAUAUUCAUUUGAAGAAUCAGGGACUCAGAUAAAAAAAGAAAACUUAAAAGAAACGUUUCAUUUUAGCAAAUUUCAUCAUUCCAUCGAAAUUGCAUUUCUGCGAAGAAUACACAUACUUCAGAAGCGGUGUCAUUUAUAGAGGUGGUUGGAGAUUUUGGAAAUAUAGCUGCUCAUGUCUGGACAGUAAGAAUUGCGGGGCGCACGUUUUUGUUCACAAGGACGAUAUUAUCAUCACAGAAACACAACACAAUCAUCAUCCGCUGGAGUACGUGAAGACAAAGAAGAGUCUCUAUUUACAAGUUUGAGGACUUUGACAACAACUACAAAGAUUAGUCCGUCUUCUAAAGAUGUGUACGGAUAACGCGUUUCUGUGUUACGCGUAGUUGAGAAACACUGUCCAUGCGUACAUUGGAUACGCGUACAGCCAUCGAUAUGAAUCAUUUGAUGGGCCCCUCCAUACUAAAGAACGCACAAUUUUAUGUCAACGAAAGACGUGCACGCACAUCUUAUCUGAGUACGUAACAAGCGCAUGCUGCGAAUGGACGUGGACUUAAAAAAAUAUUUACUGUUUUUUUUCAUUUCAACGAUACGCAUUCUCCAAGAGUGUACGCGUAAAGUCUAGCAAGUUCGUUGAUAAUACUCCCAUGAUAUGCGGGCGACGGGCGGAAAGACAGCGCGGUGUGAAAUCAUGCGUGCGGGGAAAUGACGUGCAUCAGUCGUGGGUUUUUCAUUCAUCGCUACAGUGUUACGAACGAAGUUGCCAAGUUAUCGCUGCAAGUAUGGACAUGACGUUCCGGACACGCGUAAACUGACUACGCGCUAUCCGUACGCACCUUAACAGUUUAUUUUUUAUUUUUUUAAUGUUUCUUUGACUGAUUCUUUUUCCUUUUUAAUUAUAAAAUAUAUAAUUACGUGUAUUUUAUAAUCAUGCGUAUUACCAGUAAUACCAAUAUGGUACAAUUAGCCAAUAUUUUAUUUUUUUUAUAUGUUGACUUAAGAUUUCACAUUAUGGCGUUUUACGUAAAAUGAAUGCAAUAACAUAGUCCUUGUAUGUAUGUACUUAAUAUUAAAUUCCUCGGUUGGUAACUAAUCCUAAACAUUAGGGACUUGUGAUACGAGUAAAUUUGAUACUCAGAGGCUGGCACAUUCCAAGAAUGGAAAGUACCUACCGAGCUUCUAUGGAUGUAUGUUUGGAUGUUUGUUACUCUUUAACGCCGCAACUACUGAACCGAUUUGGCAGAAAUUUAGAAUGGAAAUAUAUUUUACUCUGGAUUUACACUUAAUAAACUAUUAAAAAUCCAUGGUUCCCGAGGGAUUUGUGAAAAACUAAAUUUCACGCGGACGAAGUAGCGGGCGUCCGCUAGUUUACUUAAAUAUCACUGAUUCGCCAAGUAAUUUUAGUUUUGUUUUUUUAACUAUAUUUGAAACGACUGUGUUUUGAUUUUGAUAGAAAUUUUCAUUUUGUUGUUUUUUUAAUAUUCCUUAAUAAUUCUUACUACUUUUUUCCGAGUUGUUGUUCGAAAUAUUUGGCAAGGCCAUUAUUGAGUUUUAUGUAACGAUUUCUACUGUUGUUAUGUUCCUACUAUGAAAGUAUUAUGAGUUUAAAAGUUAAGAUUUAGUUGUGGUUAGUAUUAGUUUUGUUCAUGUCACUAAAAAGUGCCAUAAUAUGUUUAGGUAUUUGCUAUUUUUCCAAAUAUUGUGUUCAAAGAAUGCUUUAAUUAAUAAACAUGUUGGAUCAAGUCUUAGGGUUGUUAAUUUUAAAUAUAUUAUUACUAAUAUUAAACGUCUCUUAUUCUUAUUCCGUACGAUUCAUAUGUAUAUGCAUUCUUACUACAUGUUUCUUAGUCAGUAAUCGUUGCUACUACUUGUUCCUACUAUGACAGUGAUUUUAAGUUUUUUUUUUUUAUUUUGUAAUAGUUUUGAAAAGUUUAUUUUUGUUUAUGUCAUAAUAUUUUCCUUGUUUUAGAGUAGGUACUAUUUUUUUAAUAUUGUGUUCACCGAAUGCAUUAAUAAAUAAACAUAUUUGAACAUGAUUCUGAUUACCAGACAAAGAUUUUAUACUAUAAGAUAUGUCGCUAGCGCAUCGAAACUAAGCCGGACAAACUAGCUAGCUAGCUAGCGCAUCGAAACUGAGCCGGACAAAAGAGGCUACGACUUGACUUGGCUUUCGAGGCUUGACUUCAUUUCAUUUAGUCGCAUUGUAAACAACGUUAUUUAAAAUAAUAAUACCUAAAUAUUGUCUACAAUGUCGAGUCUAUAGUGUGUUCAAGAAGUGUAAAAACUAUAUAUACUUGCAUAAAUAUAUACUGUAAGUUAACACAAAAUUGUACAUGUGUGCGCUCAGUAGAGAAGCUAAAUUCAGAUCACAUUUGUGGUGAUUUUGUAGGUACGUAACAUGUCUAUAAUAUAAAAUCUUUGUUAUCAGAUUAAUGUGAUUCAACUCAUAGGGUUGUGUUAUUUUUAAAUACUUCACUAUUAUAAAACAUCUCUUAUCUUAUUCGAUACGAUUCAUGUUUCUUAUUAAUAAUAAUAUACUUACCUAUGGAUUUUUUUGGAAAAUCUACUAUUUAGGUAAAAGAUAGAAGAGCUACAUAUUUGCUAACGAAUGCUAAUUCAUUAUUUUUGGAUUUUGAAAAAUCGCCUAGAUAGAAUUGCGAUUAUCUUUCCCUAAUUCUCUAGGGAAAGAUAAUUCCGAGUUCAAAUUCACGUACCUUUAUUCCUUUGUUUAUCAGCUCGAAAGCCAAAUAUUCAAAGAUCGUGAUGUUUUGUACAAACUCUGUAAUAGUACGAUUAUCUGAUAUUAAAUGUGUUUAUUUAACUGGCCAUUUUCUUUUUGAGUAUUGCGUUUUAUGUGACAUAAGAUUAUAUGUUUAAAAUAAUAGGAUUUAGCAAAAGAACAUCUCAUUCAGUCAGUUCGAGUAUUUGAAUUGCUUUACCUUAUCAGCCAGAGAGUAGGUAUAUUGAAAAAACUUUGAUUUUUCCAAACAGCAGUAUGUCUAUUUAAAAUGUUUUAAUGACUUACAAUCCAGGACUUUUCACAAUUCAUUUAUAGUAUUCUGAGCAUUCGUACCAAUUUUUAGCUCUAUCUAACGUUACUACUAUUUUAAGGAUUAAUUUGACUGGACUAUUAAGUUAACAUAACGAGAUAACAAAAAGUUUCGAUUAUUACAACUAACCAAAUAAUGAUUUUACAGAAAUCGCGAAAUAUAUCCAAUUGGCGUCCGGGACUAAACUGCUUCUGUAUAAAAAGUUCACAUUCUCGAAAAGUGGUAAAACACGUGGCGGAGGGUCAAGAUUUACCUGCUCCUGCGCUCACAGCAAGAACUGCAAAGCGCACGUGCAUGUUGACAAGGACAACAGGAUCACUUCGACUGCAGCCGCGGCCGAACAUAGCCACGAACCGCUAAAAUACAUGAAGACACCCGAGGGUUAUGUGCGUAUUAACCCUAAAUUCCCGUAUCAUUUCGAUGUACAAGCUGAGGAAUUUGAAGAUUAAUAUUUACUAGAGUACUGUAAUGUUUACUUUUCUAAGGCCUCAUUCGUACGAGAGUUAAAAAAAGCGACGCGUUAAAAGCGUUGGCGGGCGUAGCGUGUAUAAAGUUAGAUCUAUUUCCAACGCCCAAAAUUUAAAAUGCAACACUGUCCAAUAAAAAGGCGUCGUGUUUUAAAAACGUUGUCGUGUGAACAUAUACUUGGCUUAGCCCUCAUUCUUACGAGAGUUUUUUUAACAAACAUUAAAAAACGUUCAAAUACAACAAAUGCAUUUCCAAGUAUAUGUGUUCACACGACAACGUUUUUAAAACAUGACAAUUUUUUUUGAGCAGUGUUGUAUUUUCAAUUUUGGACGUUGAAAUAGACCAGUGUGCUGUUUCGCUGUCAAUUUUAUUUCUUUUAUAUAUUUUUUUUGUAUACUUAAUAAUAUAUUUGAAUUUCUUGUUGAAUUCAAAAUAGAUAUAAAAGUUAUUCUAUUUUAAAGAUUAUAAAUUAGUUAAGAUUAAAAAUAAUAUAAGCUAUAAUGAUAUUGUAAUCUUUUUCAAAUACAUUAUUAUUGAUAAAGUUUUGUAGAAUAGGAAUUCGAAAUUUAAAAAAGAAAAUUUUGCCUUUCGCCUUUAGCUUAUUAUUAAAAAUAAACAUUUUUAUUUUAUCAGUAAUUCUCCGUUUUUGCUAAAUAUGUACAGUGUAUACCUACCUAUACACUAUAUAUAUUCAGCAAAGUAACAUAUUUAAGCUCUAGUAGUUUUUCUUAUUAAUAAGUAGGUUCGUGCUUGUUCUUCAAAUAUGUGGCUAGAUAGUAUAACAUACCUAACUUAUAAUUUUGACUUAAAAAUAUAAAAAAAAAAGUUCAUAUAAAAUCAUUUUUAAUGUUAAGAAAUUAAAUUAAAUUUAGAGAUAUUGUGCAAAGUAUUUAUCUGGACAUAACAUUCUGUUAUUAAUUACCAAGAAUUUAUUUAAUGUUUUUCACAUUUCCUUAUAAUUUUAUUUGUCAGUGAGAGAAGCCCAUUAGUCAAAGAUCCAGCAUUAUAAAUAUAUACCUCAUCUGUUAUUGAUUAGUGCUAAGAAAUAAAUGAUAGAUAAUGUCACAGUAACACAUUGCAAAUAGACUGCCUAGUUAAAUUGAGGCUUAACACAGUUAACACAAAAUCUAGGAACCCAUGAACUACAGCCUUUCUUGAUGAGUACUGUUUACCAAUAAACAAAUUAAAACCGGGGGUAUAAGUCAUUUCACACCUAAUAAUAAUUAUAAUUAACUUGUUCUUCAAUUAAUAAAAAUAAAUUUGAUUAAUAAGCUUAGAACAAUUAAAUAUGGUUAAUAUAUUUUAUAAACAAACCAUACAUAAUUUAAAAUAAAUAAGUUAUGAAAUGACACACGUUUUCAUUUCUAAUUUCUUUGUUGGUAAACAGUGCUCUUAAGAACGGCUGUAGUAUAGAUCAAUGGCAACCUAAAACAGUAAUAAAAUGAAAUAAAGCAUAAAGUAACCUUUCAUUUGACAUAUUAGACGACUAAAUAACUGAUGAGGAUAUAUAAAUACCAUUACUUAACUGUUUAUAUCUGGCAACUCCACAGUUGCCAGAUAUGUUGAAGGCAGGCAACCUUUACUUUUAUGCCGGAUCUCGUACUACAUGUAUGUAUUCAAAGUACGUACAAAUACAAUGGUAUAGUAUACAUCUGUAUGAACUGUCAAUAUUAUAGUGAUCGUUCGUAGCGUGUGUUACAAACUUAUAAAUAUACAUAAUUCAUGUACCUUUAGGUAAACGCGGCUUUCAAUAAAGUGUAUUACUGCAGUUGUAGUUUUUUUAUCUAACAAGAAGUUAUAUUGGAUCAUUCUGGACUAUUGUGUAUUUUAAAACAAUGAUUAAUCAUUAAAUCGUGAAACCUGUAUACGGGUGUAUUGUUUGUAAUGAAUGGUCAGGGCCAGGCCUCCUUACACAUAGAAGAGGGCAAUAAAAGAUCGUUGGAAGAGGAUAUAUGGAGUUUUGACGCAUUACGCUGCUCGAAUACGGGUUGGCGGGCGGGUGGUAAUGUUUCUAUAUAACGACUACUUCAGAGGCCCGAAGCCACAUAGGCUAAAGUCUGGCCGCUCAGAGGUUGCGUUUCUGACAGUUCGUGAUCGGUUGGGCGAUGUAAAUUCGAACUUGCGUACAAUUUACGGCGAAAUUUUAAAUAUCCUUAAUAACGAGUUAGAAGAGCCGUGAUAGCCCAGUUUAGGACAUGCACCUCCAACUUUCAGUUAUGGUUGUCACGUGUCUCAAACGUUGAAGGGCUAAUCCGCAUUGGGCCAGCGUGGUGGGCCCAAACCCUCUCAUUCUGAGAGGAGACUCAUGUUCAAGCAGUAAGCCGAGUAUGGGUUGAUGACUGAACAUUAAUAACGAGUAAUAAAAAUUGAGUAAUUAUGUCAACUUAAAAUAAACGUAUUAAUUUUGGGCUAAAACUACUAACAAUUAACAAAUAUAAAAACAAUAGGUUUUAAAAGUAACCACUUGAAACUGCGCUGUUUUAAAGUUAUGCCAACUUUGUUGUUUAUAUUUGUAGUGAUGAGACAAAAUAACGAGGCAACUGUAAUUGGAUACGUUUGUCCCAUUCAAUCACGACCUGCCAAAAACGCAAUCUUUGAGCGGUCAGACUUUAACCAUUGAUCCAACCAGGCAGGUGUCAAGUACCUAAUUGUAGUUGUAAAAUUUUCAAGGUCAAAUAGUGAGGUCCGUCGGCGGCAUAGAGUUCUAUCUUCUUGAUGGAUACACGUACAGCAAAAAUCAGAUAUUCUUCGACGGUGGGAUACGGUACGCUUGCAGAAACCGCAUGUCGAAGAAAUGUCCGGCGUUCGUGCGCUUGUCCAAACGUAAAGUCAUAUUGAAAUGCAAUACUGUACAUAAUCACGAGCCGCCGGGAUUUAUUUUUACUAAAGAUGGAUAUUUUGUGAAGACGUGAAGAGGAGCCUGCGAUUGCCAGACUUGAAACAUUUUAUUAACCGGCUUCAAGGAAAAGGAGGAGGUUUCUCAACUCGUCCGUAUAUAUUUAUUUAAUGCUGAAAGUUCGUCAGUCUAUGCUCCUACGUUACGCCAGCCACACACGGUCAGGUAUAUCUUGAAAUCUGCAGCACUCUGUUUUUCUUAGUUAAUUAUAAUUUUAGUUCUUUUUUAUUAUUAUUUGUAAUUAAUUAGUUUAGUUUAGUUACCUAUCUACAAAAUUUCAUAAAAACACUUUUCCUUCAUCCACCUGUUUAAUGGAUUUAAAGAGAUGGAUGAAGUCGUUUCUAAUACGGAUCUUAGACUAUACCUGUAUUCGCUAAUUUGUAAUAUAAAUUGAAAGUCAUAAUAUAUGUAAAUACACUGCAGUAAAUAUUUUGAGUUUAAUUUUCUUCAUAAAUCAAUUAUGUACUUACGUAAUUUAUGAGGAGGUGAAGUUUGUUUGUAAACCCCACAGGGAUCUCUGGAUGUACUAAACCGAUUUUAAAUAUUCUUUUACCGAUAGAAAGCCACGUUUUUGCGUGUCCCCGUACUUUAACGGGAACGGGAACUACGCGGUUGAAAACGCGGGUCUUCGUCUAGUUCUUCGUAAUGAAUUUCUGCUUCUAUUUGUCAACAACUUAUAUUUGGCUCACUGAUGAGCACGAGUCUCCUCUCUGAAUGAAAGGGGUUAGGCCAAUAGUCCACCACGCUGGCCAAAUGCGAAUUAGCAGACUUCACACACGUAGAUAAUAGGAAAAAUUCUCAAUUAUGCAGGUUUCCUCACGAUGAUUUUUCAUUAAUUUCUUAAAAUGCACAUAACUGAAAAGCUAGAGGUGCAUGCCCGGAUCGAAUUGGAACCUACGCCCUCUGGAAUCGGAGGCAGCGGUCAUAUCCACUGUGCUAUCACGGCAUAUAACCAGAGGCUUUUCUAAGUUAGAUCGCGAUUUUUUGGUAAGGAAUCCGGAAGCUUGAGGCCCCCGGGGCAUUGGACCACCUAGCCCCAGGGUAGCCACGCCAUUGCAUAUAACACGGCACUGCUUCUAUUAAAUAUUUCUAAUUUUAGGACAGAUAGUGACGGCGGUCGGCGGCUUAGAGUUCUAUCUACUGGACGGUUAUACUUACAGCAAGAACCACAUUUUCCCCGACGGCGGCAUCCGGUACGCUUGUCGGAACAGACUGUCAAAGAAGUGUACCGCGUUUGUCCGCAUGUCAAAGUACAACACUAUAAUGAGAAGUAAAACUGAACACAACCACGAACCGGCGGGGUAUACUUUUACAAAAGAUGGAUAUUUUGUAAAAACUUGAAAUAUUAUACACAGUGGCGUGCACUUCAUAGAUGCAAAAAUGCAUGUUGGACCACAGAAUGCAUGGUUGGACAAGGAAUUUUACAAUUAUUACAUAAAGUGCAUACCCUAGUUAAAAACCUUAAUCACGCUACUGGAAUAUACAGGUGUCCUAUAAAUCAGCGACAUGUUAUACUGUUUAUACUACAUUUACGUUUCAUAUAAUCGUUUUAACAUAAAAAUGGACCGGCUGCAUAGGUAUUUCAAUUAUUUUGAUUUUAACACAAAAUUACUUGAGUAACAGAUUUUUAUGAAAAUUAAAUGCGACCAAUCUAGAAGUAUAUAAAUAUAUCCUUUCAGACAAAAUAAUAAUAAAUGAGGAAGUUAUGAGGCAACAAACUAAAAUAUAUACGCGUCGAAUUAAGAACCUCCUCCUUUUUUUGAAGUCGGUUAAAACGCCAUACAAAACUAAUUGUGCCCAGUUGUAGUGUUUGUGUAUAUAUACACCGCGGGGAGCAACAAUUGACAAAUUUUAACAUAUGAGUAAUUCCAUGAGCCGAGCGUUUGACAGUGAUCACCGAGUCUUUGGACCGUGCGAGUAUAGGCACAAUUUAUGUCGUUACCUGUACCUGUAAUUAACAACGCAAGUGGAAUAUACUUCCUCUAAUUCAUUGAAAGUAAUUAGAUUUGUCCUGAAAAAAUCCGUAGGGUAGGUAUAUAAUAAUUUAUUUAUUUUAUACGUUGUAGAGUCAACAUCUCCUAAGGAUGUUCCGGUUUCGGGGUGAAACGUACGUAGAGAGUAUUUUGUCGGACCUGGGUGACGUUGUUGCAUGGGUUCGUCGGCUUUUCGCGGAUGAUAUCAAAAUAAAUAAAUUAUUAUAUAUUUAUAAUGCACUUCCGCAAAGUAACGCCUGCUUUUAUCCUAUAAAUCCGUAGGAUCAAGUUACAUUUUUUUAACAGUUUUUUUUUGUAAAUGCUGUUAGCUGCUGUAAUUAAUAUUAAAUAAAAUGUAUCUUCUAUUUGCGUUUGAUUAGCAGUUGCGAACCUAUGUGUUAGCAAGCAAAAUAAAGCUUCAACAACUAACGGACGCCCGCGACUCUUUUACCUUUCAUCCUUGAUGAAUAAAGGUCUGCAUUUGGCUUAAAACUUAAAUCUGUAAAAACGGUUGGAUAUUUUAAAAUCGUGAACAAAUAGUACCUUUAUUAUGUUUUUAAAUCAAAGUAUCAUUCAAUACUUUUUUUAAAAUAAAGUUUCAUGUUAGAUUUAAAUAGUAUUAUUAUUUUUAUUCUGUAACAUUUUAUGUAAUUUUGCUAUUUAGGUAUUCAAGCAAAAAUAACAACCCUCUGGUUUCGUGCGCGUAGCACAAUGAUUCCAAAGAAAAAUGUUUACUUAAUACCUUUACAACUCAACGAAUAUUAUAAAGAGUUCGCAUAAUUACUCUGGUGUCAGGGAAACGGUUGGCGAUGUUGCACGGUUUCACAUUCCACAAAACUAAGAUGACGAGAAAAAGUGGCGGAGUGAGGUGGCGAUGCUCCUACAAGAUGAAGGGGUGCCGGGCUUUCUGCAUUCUGGACGAGCAAGGCCGGCUUUUGGACUGCAACAACUACCAUUGUCAUUUGCAGCCGCGUUAUACAGAAAUCAAUGGAUUAUACUACAAACAAUAUGAGUUUUAGACAUUUUGUACUAAAUUAAAUUGGAAAUUUUAUACUAAUGUUAUAACUGCACUGAUUUUUUGCCGCCUUUAUAUAUGAAUAUUAUCUAGUUUGAAUCACAACAUGAGUUUUAGUUCAUCAAUAGACAUGUUCAGGAUUAUAUGGACUUUUAUACUUUUAAUCUCAACUAUAUUAGAUUAAAGAUUUGUUCUAAUCUAUAUCUGUCGUUUUUAUAACUUAGCUUCAUUAAUGUAUUAUUGUACUAGGUAGGUUGAUUCAUUUCUUGUGCAAUAUAUUGUUCAUUUUUUCCUAUUUUGUUCACCAGUCAAAAUGAUACGCCUCUUAUCUGGGAAACAGUUAAUGAUGAUACAAGGAUUCACCUUCCACAGAACAGUCAAAAUGAUACGCCUCUUGUCUGGGAAGCAGUUGGUGAUGAUACAAGGAUUCACCUUCCACAGAACAGGUGCUGAAUUCAUUACGCUCAAUACCGGGGUUACGUUGCUGCUCAUUAAUAAAUACUCGUUCCACAAACUUGGGGCGUCCAAGUAUUGUGGAGGAUAUAGAUGGCGAUGUUCAUCUAAAAAGAGGCAUAAGUGUAAGGCGUUCGCAGUGCUCUCUGUAGACGACACAACCAUUCUUAGAUUAGUCGGCAUGCAUAAUCAUGAUCCUACGGCUUAUAAACUAAAUCAAAAGGGGUUUUAUGUGAAAGCAUAACGAAGGUACUAACUUGACGUGGAUUUAAUUUACACAACAUAAGAGGUUGAGUACAGUACAUGGUAAAUUAACGGGUAAAAAUUGAGCUUUAGAAAGAGACCUUUCCCCUUUUGAGUCAUGGGCGUGUAGAAAUAAGUAAAUACGUAGAACGUGUAGCCAGCCAGACCUUUGUCAUUUUAUUAAAGCUUAAAGAUUUUCACUUUCUGCACUGGUUGGCGAUUGAGGACAUUUUUCUUAUAGAAGAAAAUAUAAAUAAACCCGCGUAGUUUCCGUUCUUGUGAGAAUACGGGGAUAUAGUAUUUGUGUACAGGCAAACUCUUUCAUAGGUUCGAUUUGUGACACUUUUGCCAUUUACUGUAUAUACCUAAACGGGUAAAGCCAACUAUAGCUGUAUAAUAAAAGUAACAGAUUUGUAUGCGGACAAUAUUUAAGUUAUUUUGCAUUGUAUAUAAUCUUUCGUGUUCACUAUAUGAAAACGAAAGAUUGUAUACAAUGCAAAAUUCUCAUUUUAUUUUACUUAAUUAUAAUUUUAUCUAUUUCGUUUGUCCAUUCUAUCAAGCUGCCACGACAAAAUCGCCCUCGAAACUAACAAUAAAAAAUAUAUAAGUGUUAAAUUCGACUAGAAUCUUACAGUGGCUUCUGACCUUCAGUUUUAAAUGUACAGUUUUAUCUUAUCGAAAUUUCAAUCUAAAGCAUUAGAUAAAACUGUACUGUUAAAACUGACACACUACACACGGACGAUUUAACUGAACAGUUUAACUGUACAGUUAAAACUGCAAGUCUCUAGCUGCUGGCACUACGUUAUAUUGCUUACAGUUACAAGACUAAUGUACUACAUUCCAGUAAAUACAACUAUGCUUUUUAUUUAUCCUAGCAGAAAUAGACUAUUUUCACUGUUCAAAAUCUCAUAGUAGUUAGGUACGCGUAAUUUAUUAACAUGAAUUAUUUAUUUUUAAUAUAUUUUUUAUAUUUAUUUUUUCGUUCAAUAAAAAUAAAAGUAAUUCUCCUUAUAAUUAUACCAAGGAUUAUUCUAAAUUUAACAAAAUUAAGGAUAUUAUGUUAUCUGUAUUAUAUUAAUAAAAAGAAACUUAUACAGUGAAUAUACUUAGUGAAUAAAUUUGACUGAAUAAAAUAUAAUUUCAUGAAUUUUGCAUGAAAUAUUUGUUUUUCAUCAUAUUUUUUAAGUAGGACAAUUGUAAAUUUACGAAUAAUAAAAUUAUUAAUUAUGAACUAAAUAAAUUAACUGCAUAUUUUACUAAAAUGCCAUGUUUUAUUUUCUCAUUUUUUCCUCAACGCAUCCAAUCAACGCAACCUAUCCUUAUACGCAGAGCUACACGCAUCUUUUACACACUCCAAUCUUCCUUGGCCUUUUUUUCCUCUUUUGUUCUUUCACUUGCAACUUUAACAUUUUUUCGUAAUAUGACUUACAUUUUGUUCGCAUUUCAUAUUCUCUAUUAAAAACGAUCAUUGUCCAUUUUUUACUUUCGGACUUUCUUUUCGAAAUGCAGUAGCCUACUGCAUUUUUUUUCAUUUCAAAACAGUUCGCUAUUAUUAGAUAAAAGGUUAAUAUAAAAUAUUGUAGAAAGAAUAGAAACAGGCGUAAAAAAUAUGCAAAAAAUAGGCUUUUUAAACACAAUGCUAUAACUAAGUAUCAGGUUUUAGUUAUCACACGAAAUAUUUUAAAUUAUUAGACAUUUUACGUGCCUACAAAAUCACCGCAAACAGUGAUCCAAAUUUACCUACUCCGCAUUGCGCACACAUGCACAAUAAUUUGGUAUUUGCUUACAUUACAUACUUAUUUAUGUAUGUAUAGUUUAUACACUUCCUCAACACACAAUACGAUAUUGUAGACAAUAUUUAGGUAUUAAUUUUUUAAACAACUUUCGUCGUUUACUAUGCGACUAAAUGAAAUUAAGACAAUUAGCCACUUUUGUUCGCCAAUUCGUAGUGACAUAACUGAUAGUACUCUUUGACCUAUUAUUUUUGUUUCAUAUAAUAAUAUUUCAAAACUAUCAGAUAAAACAAGAAUCAUUUCAAAAAAUACAACUGUACAAAAAAAACGGUAGAUUUGUAUACGAUUGUAGUAAUUGCAGAUAUAAAGUUUGUCACCCUCAUAAAUGGAAGGAGACUCCUCAUGGUGGAUGGUUACACGUUCCACAAAGGAGGCGGUCACAUUAGAUGUUACGGUGGUGUCAAAUGGAGAUGCUCAGCUUCUAAAAAGAAGUGCAACGCUUUCGUAUCCCUGUCCGACUGUGAAAGUUACGUCAUCAAAUCCAAGCUGGAUCACGUCGGACAUGAUCGACCAGAGUAUAGAGUUAACCAAAGUGGCAUGUAUUUUAAAUUGAUUUAAAUUGCAACAAAAUUACUUUGCAUAUGUGAUUUUUGAUGUUAAUUCGACUCUGUACAAUCUAACAAUUUAAAAAAACAAUCUUGUAAGUAAGUUUGACCUUUAGCGAAAAUAGUCGUAUAAUAAAACAAGUCUGACGUCUUUUGAGAUAUAUUAAUUGUUCUAAAUAUCUUAAUAGUAUAUCAUUUACAAAUGUUUAAAUAUAUAGGUAUCUAUUUUCUAAAAAUAAAUGUUAAUUAAAUUUACACGAGUAUAUUUCACAUAAAACAAGCGCAAGUAUCGUUGUUGUAUUUUUUUUUUAAACUUCUUGAAAACUAUAUACUUCUUGAAUACUAAUAGUAAACAAGAAGGAACAUUGAGAUAAUUUAAGAACUUGUAUAUAUACAAUAUUCUUGUGAGUAAUCGAAUCAGUAAUAAGGAGAUACGCUGAAGAACGAAAGUUACCGACAUACCUCAACGAGUUGCGAAGCUUAAGUGGCAAUGGGUGGGGCACAUAGUUCGAAGAGCCGAUGGACGUCCCAAAGUGCUGAAAUGGCGACACCGCACUAUAAAGCACAGUGUUGGUGUACCCCUCCCCUCACAAGGUGGACUGACGACAUCAAGCGAGUCGAUUCGCUGGAUGCAGGUGGUUCAGUAUCGUGAUGUUUGGAAGUCCUUACAAAAGGUCGUAUGUCCUGCAGUGAACGUCCAUCGGCUGAUAUGAUGAUGAUGAUAAUAUUCUUAGUAUACAUAUCAGAUUAAAGAGUAUCAGAACCAGUUCCACAAGCGAUUUCGUUGCUUACUGCAUUGCUUAAAAUAUGCACAUAUUUUUUAUGUAACAUUUAUUGCUGUAUCCACAAAAUUGCCUGCAUUUUUGGUAAGUAACACCAAAAAACCUUAGACCCCAAUCAAAACGUCACUUGAAAUACGUCGCUGUCGCUAAACUUCAUUGUCAAUACAGUUGUCGUAGAAAACCAACAUUGCGCAAUAAGCCAUUUUCGUAAAAUGCCAGUAAUUUUAUUUUGCAGGUAUUAUGGUACAACGACCCAACAACAGAUUAGGGAUGUUGUACAAUCGGUACAUGUUCUACCCCCACUAUAAGAUCAGGAAGGGUUUUAGAUGGCGUUGUAAUCGAUACCAUCUGGGUUGCUCGGCGGCCAUCCAGGCUGACAUGAAUAAUAAAAUUUUCAGAAAAAAACUGGACCAUAACCAUGCACCGCCUGAAAUGGAAUUGACCCAGGGAAUGUGUUUUAGAAAAAAUUGUUCCGACUAUUUCUAACUGUAUUGCAUUCUUACGUUAAACUGUAAAUUACAAUUAAAUUUGUAUUCCAAGAUUGUGUUUCAUUUUCAUUUGAUAUGCAGUAUGCUGCAUGUCUCUUGCACUCCAAAAGAGAGGCCGUUGGACGGAGGUGAGUGAGCUGUCAGUUAGUCAGUCGAGUGAAGUAUAUGCGUAAGAAUACCUAACCAUCACUACAUUAAGUGAAUAACAGUUUUUACUGUUUUAUUAGAGAAAAUCUUAAUUAACAGGUUUAAAUAUUCGGCAAAUAGAAGAUCAGUCAGACGAAUCUGUUUUGGAGUCAGAUCCAUUCGACGAUAUUAACGAUGACGAGUAUAUGCCAAAUAUAUCGGGAAUUUUAAAAAGAUACCCAUUCAUCAAAUUCCUCGUCUUCAUCUGAUGAUAACGAUGACCAGAAGUUCCAGCUACGUGGAAGAUCCCGCAGAAUAGUUUUAGCAAAUCCUAUUCCUGAGUCUUCUAUUUGGCAAGAAAAAUCAUUUUCUCCAAAUAUUGCUCAUAUCUUACCCAUUUAUUUCUCUGUUAACACAGAACAUUUUAGAAAGUACGAUUAUUUUAGUCAAUACAUUGAUACGGAAAUAAUGGAGUUAAUUGUACAAAAGACAAACCAAAUGUCAUUCUUUAAGAAGGGAAAAGGAAUUAAAAUUACUAUGAAGGAACUUGGGAUUUAUAUUGGGGCCAUGAUGAUUAUGAGUACUAUAAAUUAUCCGCUACUUAGAAUGUAUUGGCAAAAAGAGUAUAGAGUGAAUAUUAUUGCUGAUAAUAUAUCUCGUGGUAGGUUUAUUACGAUAACAAAUAAUUUAAAAUUCGUCUAUGAUCAUGUCAUUGCACUUGAAGAAAGAUUAAAAGAUAAAUUAUGGAAAGUGCGCCCAUUACUGAACAAAAUUCUAAGUGGAUGCCGUCAACAGAAUAAAGAGCAAAAUCUUUGCAUCGAUAAAAUAACUAUACCGUAUACCGGUAAAUGUAACAUAAAACAACACUAUUCAAAUAUACGAAAUCCCGAAGGCCUUAAGGCGUUCGUAAUGGCUAACGCGAAUAGUAUUGUGUGUAAUUUUCAUAUCGACCAAGGAAAUUCUGAUUAUCCAGAGCACGAGGAAACAAAUUUUACCUUAGGUGAGGACGUAGUGAUGAAAUUCGCUGCUGAUUUGAUGCCGGGCCUAAUUUUAUACUUUGACAGAUAUUUCACUACAGUAAAGGUAGUGCAAGAAUUAAAACAUCAAGGUAUCUAAGAUUCCAAAAGACGCUAAACCUCUGCUUAAAUCCAAAGCCGAAUUAAAACGUUUAGAACGAGGAAGUUGUCAUGUACUUGUAAACGAGACUACAAACAUUGCAUUAACUACUUGGCUGGAUGAUAAGUCCGUAACAUUAUUGUCAUCUAUUUAUGCCAAUAUUAGCCUUAUGAAUGCCAAAGAUGGUGUAAAAAACGAAAGACAUUCGUGCCUUUUAGCCGUCCUGAAGUAAUGAAAGCUUACAACGACAAUGAAAAGAUUGCUGUCAGUUUGUCCAUUUAGAUAUACCGCCAAGGGGACUCAAAGACUUGUAGCCCACGUGAUUGACUUGGCUACAACCAACGCUUGGUUACAGUACCGAUCAGAGGAACUCACUAAAAAUGUACCCAUAAAGAAAAUUUUACAACUUCGUGCUUUUAAGUUAGAACUGGGACAGUUUCCGAUAGAUCAAGCUUAUGAUAACGAUAAGGCAGAAGCGAGUAGCUGUGAAAGUGAACCAGUGAACACUACGCGAAUUAUUGGGCGACCGUACGUCCAACUACCUAGCGAUUCUAAGACAAACAAGACAGCGCAUAUGCCCAUAAUAGGUGAGCACCAGAAUAGAUGCCGGCAUCGUGGUUGCUCCCGCAAAACUAAAAUGUACUGUUCCUCUUGCCACAUUUAUCUUUGCUCAACUUUUAAUAGAAAUUGUUUUAUGCAGUUUCAUUCUGAAUAGAUGAUAUUUUUUUCUUUAAUAUAUAGUGUAUAUUCAAUGUUUUAGAAUUCGACUGCACUAGGCUAAAAACUAUAGCUUGUUUAGGUAUCCAAUAAUAAUAAUAACACAAAAGUAAGUAACUUAUUUUCAAUCACGUCUUGCAAACAAUACAAAGGUUUCAUGAGUUAAAAGUACGAGUAAUUAUUUGUUUGCAAUAAUUUAUUUUAUCUUUGAAUAAGAUUAAAUAAAAUCAGAUAUCUUUACACAAAAUAAGUGUUUUAUUUACUAAAAAAAUAACGACAUACGCUAUAAAUAAAUACAAUAAAAACAACAGAAUAAAACGACUGUAUUCUAAACUGUGUUUAUUGAAAAUAAUAGGCACAACUAAUAUAAUUUGUAGUACCCAAAAAUUACCGUUGGAAUUUUUUUGUGGAGUCUCAGAAAAAUUACAUACAAUAUUUUAUACUAUUAUUAAUAUUGAUUGAUGUCCAAAUUGUAAGCUACGUUUCAAUACAUUCUUUUUUGUAGACAAAAAAUUAUAAAAUGUAUCAUAAAAAUAAAGUUAUAUUGGUAGAAUCAAUACCACAUUAUAUCUUGAGUCUUGAGAGAGAGUCUUGUCUUGCAUUUGAAAUAGUAAACGGAUUAUAGAUGGAUAGAUUAUAUUACACUACCGUGCCUCGGAGAGCACGUUAAGCCGUCAGUCCCGGCCAUUAUAUUUAACAUCUUGAUAGUGGUCUUUAAAGAAAAAUUAUCACCUUAAGUACAAGUACAUUGAAGAAGCGUGGUGGGUAUAACCUCCUUAUCCCCUCUCCAAUAAGGAGGAAGGCUUGCUUCUAGUGAACAGUUAACAAAAGGCUGAAAAUAAUGACGUAAUAAAGAAAUGUCCACUUUCAGGAGAGUUCGUCAUCCGAUCAAAUAAUCGGAUAGGACUCUUGUAUCAAGGGCACAUGUACUCGCGACACAUCAGAGUACGCGACGCCUACAGAUGGCGCUGCUUCCGCCACUACACACACUGCAAGGCGUAUGUUCACGUUGACAGUCGCAAUUGCGUAGUUAGAAGUUUCCCCUUCCAUUCCCAUUCGAUUCCUGGUUUUCGCGUGUUAGAUGGUAAAUAUUACCAAAGACACUACGUCUAGCACAGUUUAUAAUAUUUCAAUAGAGUUCGAGUUUUCCACUUAAUAAAAUAUAACAAAACGAAUGUCCUUUCUGUUUCUAAUUUCAUCAUUCGAAGAGGCGAAGAGGAAAAUUAUGAGCAGACUUUGGCAGACAUCUCUCAUCAGUUACUCCAAUAUGCAACCAGUGAAGAGAAUUAUAGACAAAAAGAGAAUGCCCACCCCUGGCCCUGGUCUGCUCUAAUCACACAGCAAUCUACUUAUGUUUAAAAAUUUUGAUGAUUCUCAAAUUCAUCAUUCUCGAAAUCAUUACUUUACCAAAAAAAGUUUGCUACAACGUUUAACGACUUUUGAUUCAUCUUUAAUUUGUCAAUGGAGACAAGCAAAGAACUUUGUCCCAAUGGGGUACAACUUGAGUUUUACGACAUUUUUUGAAGACUUAUGAUUGGGUCGUUUGUUAAGCUUAUUGGUGGUAACAGAAAAUAAUAAUACAGCUUCAAUUGUUACUUCACCGCUUUGGUGAACUUUUUGAGCAAGAAGAGUUAUGGAAAAACAUACAUUAAGCCAAUUGUUUAACCAGAUCCUUAUUUAUACCUCAUAUUAUCAUCUCCAUAUACUUUUAUACAGGGUAUACCUGGGUUCCCGGGGCCGAUGUUGUAUAGGCCGGUGGGCAUUCCCCUUCGUCAAAUGGCGUCGGAGUUGUCCCAGUAACAUAUUAUUAGUUCUUAUUAACGCAAUAGAAGAGAUAGCGAUACUUCCGACUUGACAAACCUCAGAAAUUGACAAAGUUCAUCCAAUGACGGCGCCUAUUGGUUGAACUUUGUCGAUUUCUCUUCACGAGAUUUUCAGUAGUUCAAUCAGUAUGCAAUUCAAUCGUUUGUAAAAUUCUUUGAAUUACUUCAAAAUUGAUAUUCAUUUUUCAAAUUGAAUAAAUGUUUGCGUUGAAAUUGAUUUUAUUUUAAAUGUUUAAAUUAGUGUUGUUUCGACUUGACGAUAAUUGUUUUAUCCACCAAAUUAAAGGUAUAAUCUAAAUGUGGUGUUUUUAGUGACACCGAUAACUCUUCUAAAUGGAUCUCUACGGAUGAUGAAAAACGGUUUUACUUACUACAAAACUUCUGUAAGGAAUACUACAGUGAGAUGGCAAUGUACAAAUUACUCUCGGUGUAGGUACUCUCGGUACUCUCGGUACUCUCGGUACCUUCUUUUAUCCCAAGAAGGUAUUUUGGACCGCUCCAGUGAAAAUCAUCAGCACAAUCGUCCCAUGUAUUGCAUUCUGCCUACUGGCGAAUAUUUUAAAAUACGGAACAAUUUUAAAUGAACUCAUAAUUUAAAACAUAAAAGUUAAUUAUUUAGUUUCAGUAAAAAUUUCAAUAAAUAAACUAACUCUAGCUCCUAGGAGCCUCAAGUUGGCGGGUGCAUUUUGUAACGUGUAAAUUGUGCUCCUAGCAUGUUCGGUGAAGUGUUGGUAAGUUACCCAUGCUACAGACUUGCAGUUUUUAAUGUACAGUUUUUACUUUUAAUUUUCAUUGAAAUAUUGUUUUGAUAAAAUACAUCUAAAAUUGCGCAGUUAAAACUGAAAGUCUGUAGCGCGGGUUGUAGUGUAACUUUACAAUAACAGUUGUCAUUUGGAAGUAAUAAGUUGUUUUAAGAUAAAAAAAGUUCUUUAUACUCAUAUUAUAUGACUUGCAAAUAAAUGCAGGUUGUAAAUUGUGAUUUACCUCUUUAAAUCAUAAGGGCAGUCAUCUAUAGUUAGUACUUAAUUUUAUAAAAACAAAAUUUACUGACAGACGGAAAGACUGACACACGAGUGAGCCUAGGUGGGUUCCAUUGUCGUACUCGGGUAUUUGGAAUCCUAAUAAGAAAAGCAAUUAUUUUUUAUUACUUGUCUAAGAUUUUAAGGAGUUUGUAAUGAUAAUUUAAUGUGAUAAACUUUGUUAGGAUUUUUAACGUUCACUAAUAAUAUUCCUCCUGGAAGAAAAAAUAGGAGUUACCAUUUUAAAGCUUUAGUGAUUUUGUGAUUGUGAUUAGUAAAUACAUCGAUAAAUUAUAAUUAAUCUUAAACGCUCAACUACUAGAGCCUGUUUUAAAUUUAUUAUAAUUUUAAUUUUUAUUUCUUCUUGUAAAAUCCUUGCAAUUGAUAUUUAUAUAGUCAUAUGUCAAAACUUGAGUUAUUUUUAUAAAAAUGUGCCAAAAAUUAUGUGAUUUACAAAAUAAGUCAAUAAAAACGUAUUUGCUAAUAUAAAAAAAACUUAUUUUAUCUUCAUUUCAACAAAAUAGUGAGUUUGUUUGUUUUAGGUUAUAAAGGCAGUCGCAUGAGUGAUUAUGUACCUACGUUUAAAAAAAAUCUAGAAAAAAUAUCAUUAUGUGCCUAACUCGUAAAGUUCUGUACAUAGAGAUGUGUAAAGUAUUAAAGUGGCCCGUGCUAGAAAUCAAAUCCAGGACUUCUGUUGAGAAACACAGUAAUACCAAAAAUCGUCGUCAAAAUGAAUGUAUUCAAUUCUUUCACUGUUGAUCGUUUUUUUUUUAAGUAUUAACUUCUUUAGCGGCGUUUUGCAGUUUUAUGGGAUGGGUAAGAAUGAAAAACUCGCGUCAGGAUCACGUGACCCUGAUCUAUAUUCUACUAAAAUUGGUAAUACAUCGGCCGCGCCGCUAACUUAACCACACUGUAAAAAUGGUACCAAAAUGAUUGUUGUAACAUACUACAUACGAUUAAAUAAAUAUUAUUUGUAUUCGACUGCCGGACAUUAUAAUAAACAAUGAAAAUGGGCAACUGACCUUUUCGCUCGAUUUGGUUUGACGAUGCACCUUCAUUGGGAUCAAACAUGCGAAGGAAGUUUUAGUGUAAUUUAUAGAAAUGAAAUUUCCAGCUCAACUGAUCACAAUGGACAACAACAGAAACUGUUUACUAUACGCGGGAUAUACGUUCUUCUAUCGGUACAAGUUGCUGAGGCUGGGCCACAAGUGGGUGUGCACCAACUUCCCGCGCUGCAAGGCGUUCCUGUGCGUCGACGACCAAUUCUUCAUCAACGAAAGCAUGACGCAACAUAAUCACGAACGGAAACUUUUACACCAGUGCCCAAACGGCAAAUAUGUGAGGACCAGGAUGAUAAAUUAUAGAUAAAUAUUAAUAAAAUGUUAUUCCAAAAACGAGUGACUUUCGAUGUUCGAAGAAUUCGUUGGUUGUUUAAUUGUUAUAAGCGUCAAAAUUCGAUUUCGAAAAAAUGCAAUUUUAACUGUACAGUCAAAACGUCCGUGUGUAGAUAAAACUGUACAAUCAAAACUUCACAAUUAAAACUGAAGGUCUGUAGCCCGCAUUAUUCAAAUUUGAACUUUAUUUUUACGAGAAUUCAAUGACAACGAAACACGAUGUCACGACUCGCAGCGUUGUUCCUUUGCAGAAUGCAGAGGCGCAUCACGCCGAACUGAUCACUAUUCCAGUAUUAUCUUGUCUAAAAAUUGCUUUAAAAGUAAGAAAAAGUCCUAGAAGCAUUCACGAAAUAGGGAUGAAAUACCUGCCCGGUAUCUUAAUGUUAAAGCCUUUGAUCAUUGCAGUUAAGCUCAGUUAUCAAGUGACGUAACGAGUAUUUGUCUGAUUCAUCAACAUUGCUUUCACCACUUAAUGAUGUGAGUAUUAUCAUCUCUUUUUACGGCACUCUACAGGGCCUGGCCUCACCCAGGAGAAGGGAUAAGGAGCUUAGACCCACCACGCUGCUUCAGUGUGGAUUGGCGAGCAUUAGUUUGAUAACGUUAAAUUCUUUAACGAUCUCUUUUAUACUAAUUUUAAUAAUUUAAUGUAAAAUGUUUAAAAGAAUUAAACAAAAAUGUUGAAUUAAAUUUGAUUACCAUUCCUUCAUUGUGCUUUUUUUGUCACCUAUUUUUACAGCGAAAAAAAAGAAGAUCGUAAAGUGAAAAUAUAAUGGAAUUAUUCGACAAUGGUAUGCGCGGAGGUUUUACAAGACGGAGGUCCUGGGUUCAAUCCCAAGCUAAAUCGUCAUCCUCCUCCUAAUAAGUUAGCCCACUUCCAUCUUAGAUUGCAUCAUCACUUACCAUCAGGUGAGACUGAAGUCAAGGGCUAACUUGUAAAUAAUAAAAAAAAACAACAAAAAAACGUUGUCUUUUGAUAGACAAUAACGGCAGUACACUGGUUUAAAAUUAAUGGUAGAUGCUACAGACGUGCAGUUUUAACUUCACGGUUUCAGUUAAAUCGUACGUGUGUAGUGUCCGUCAGUUUUAAUUGUACAGUUUUUCUAAUAAAUUUUACAGUACAACUUGUACAGUUAAAACCAAAGGUCUGUAGCGCGGGUAUCACCUUUUGUACAUGUAUAUGCUGCAAUCAACUAAUGAAUUGAAUUUAGAGUCGGAUGUUCAUUGGACCUCUAAAUUAAUCUGAUUUAAUUUAUGUAGUUUGGACUAAAUUGGCAAACAUUUUUGGCUUUAUAUUAGACUAAAUGCUUAUAAUUCAUAAGCGUCAAUAACUAAAGCUUGGCAAGUUUGUUGAUGACACUCCCAUGAUAUGCGGGCGACGAGACGGAAAGGAGGGUGCGAGGGUAUGAAGUCGUGCGCGCGGGGCAUCGCUACCCGCCUCCUGGUCUCCAUGGACCAAUUGGGAGAGGAAAGGGAACAUUAGUCAUAUUUAAAAGAUAUGGCAAACGUUCUCUAAAAUGCUCUAGUAUAAGUACUUACCUAUAACCAAGCUUUUAUAUAAUAUAUAAAAACUUGUCUUUUGCUUGCUUGCUUUUAUAAGUAUAUAAAAGCUUGUUGUAACAUACAUUUUCGAGAUUAUAAUUUAAAAUUUUUAGUACAGUAUAGUAUAGUGAAGCAUAGUAUAGAAGUAGUAAACAGAUAGUAGACACAGGCUUUUUUCUAUUCAAGCUCGUCUCAUAACUAUGGCGAAUGGGAAGGAGAGUUUGGUCUACGGCGGAUACACGUUUUUCCUCCGCGGCGUACGACGGAGGUGGAAGAGCUGGGUUUGCACCAACUUCCCCCGCUGCAAGGCGUUCGUUAGCGUCAACGAUUGCUUCUUGGUCCUCCGCUGCAGAACCGAGCAUAACCACGUCAAGAAAGUACUACACCGAUGCUCUAACGGAACAUAUGUGAAGCACAACUUAUCACGCUAAAGUUAAGAAGCUCUUCUUCUUUUUCAUUCCUGUUCUUUCUAUUUUAAAUAUACUUAAAUAAAAAGAGCAUAUAAUGAGAAAAAAUGUAACGGCUUGAAGCCGAAUAGUAGCUACACUUCGUUUAGCAUAAUUAUAAUAGAGAAGCAUGCCUAGCGUGAUAUAUUUUUAUCUUCACCAAUGUUGUAGUUUUAGAAAAUUUAAAACACAGCCUUUGUCUGUUAAUACAAUUCGCAGAGUGUUUAUAUCUGUUAGUACAAUUCGUGGAGUCUUUAUAUCUGUUAAUAGAAUUCGUGGAGUCUUUUGAUCUGUUUUAAAAUUCGCAGAGUCUUUAGAUCUGUUUGUACAAUUCGUAAGUCUAUAGAUCUGUUAGUACAAUUCCUAGAAAAUACAUAAUUUAUAUUGAUAUACGAGUAUCUUGAAAAAUCAGGUAUUUAAAAAUAUUACAUUUUGUAAUUCACGAUUGUAGUCAGAAUAUUUAUUGUAAGGAAUUGUAAUAUUCCAUUUUAAUGCUCCAGUUACUCGUAGUUUGAAUCAAACAUAAAACAUUAAUCGUUGAAAUAUCUGUUAUGAUAUAAUAAUAAUGAUAAGCAUAAUAAUAAUAAGCAUUUCAAUAUUCCAGUUACUCGUAAUUUGAUCCGAAAAUGAAAUAAUACUUAAAAUCUCCGUCAUUAUAAUAUAAUCAUAAGUAAUAUAAUAUUCAAGUUACUCGUAGUUUGAAUCAAACAUGAAAUAUUAAUUGUUGAAUUAGUCUCCGUUAUGAUAGUAAAUAAUAAGUAUUUUAAUAUUCAAUUACUCGUACUUUGAAUCAAACAUGAAAUAUUAAUCGUUAAAAUAUCCGUUAUAAUAAGCAUAAUAAUAAUAAUAAGGCAAUAAGCAUUUCAAUAUUCCAGUUCGUAAUUUGAUCCGAAAGUGAAAUAUUAAUAGUUAAAAUCUUAAUAAUUAAUAGUUAAAAUAGUUAAAGUCAUGAUAAUAAAAUAGAAAGCAUUUUAAUAUUACAGUUACUCGUAAUUUAUCCGAAAAUGAAAUAAUUAGUUAAAAUCUCCAUCAUGUAUUAAUAAGCGAUUUAAUAUUCCAGUUACUCGUAGUUUGAUUUAUUCAAGAUAUAUUAAUCGUCAAAAUCUCCGUUAUGAUAAUAUAAUAAUAAGCAUUUUAAUAUUCCAGUUACGUGUAGUUUGUUCCGAAUAUGAAACAUUAAACGUUAGAAUCUCCAUAAUUAUAAUAAUAUCAUAUUCAAUUAUAAUAUUCCAAUUACUUGUAGUUUGUUCCGAAUAUGAAACAUUAAACGUUAAAAUCUCCAUAAUUAUAAUAAUAUAAUAUUCAAUUAUAAUAUUCCAGUUACUUGUAGUUUGAUCCAAACGUAAAAUAUUAAACGUUAAAAUAUCCGUUAUGUUAAUAUUAUAUUCAAUUUUAAUAUUCCAAUUACUUGUACUUUGAUUCUAACAUGAAAUAUUAAUCGUCUAAAUCUGUGUUAUGAUAAUAUAAUAAUGAUGUAGCUCCAUUGAAAUAGAUGAAAUAAAUGGUUUCCUCUCAAAUGUGUUCAUUUAGCUUGUCCUGUUUUAUUAUUAUAGUAACAGAGCUAUCACAAUAGCGGAUUGCGAGCGUUUUCAAAGAGGAGGGGGCUCGCAACGGAUACGUUACGGGCGCGCAACGGACAUGUUGUGCUGUCUCGUACAAACGCCAGUCCGUCCCAGUGUUGUCAAACGUACGCUUUAAAUCGUAUUUAUACGACUUUUUUGGCUCUUGUACCAUGUAUAAUCGAGUAAUCGAAAUCGUACGCAAAAUUUACGAUCGUUUCAAAUAUUAGGUCCAUCAUCAUAACCAAUUAAAAAUAUUAACUAGUCGACGAAAAAUUAACCUACGAUGAUUUGUUGGUUUGAAAAGAAAAAUACAAACAAUAUAAACAAUAGUUUUUUAGCCAGAAAUCUGUUUUUUUAAUAAAUUUUAAUAGUAAAACAGCAGUGUUUCUUCAUCAGAAUCCAUUUUGUUACUGAAUGUACUGUACGUCGUUAAUCCGCUACAAAACCGCGACGGAAACGUUGCGAAUCCGCCACGCUUCCGCGACGUCUUCGCUGCGCAGCCGUGAUGUGUUCGCGACGUAUUCGCUGAGCGUCCGCUCCGCUUUUGCAACCGCUGGCAACCCGCUAGUAUGAUAAGGCCGUUAUAGUUACAUUCAAAUAUAGUAUAGCUUGGCUACAUUUUGAAGUCUCUUUGAGUUUGGAUAUAGUGGUAAAAACAGUGCACGUGUAUAAACUGAUGGUUGGUUAAAAUGAAAAAUUUGUUUGAUGCGAUGCGUCCGAUACUUUCGUUACGGAUAUAAGGACGCCUACCAUUACAAACCAACGCGAAUGGUCUGUCGUCUUACAUGUAAAGUCAAAGAGGCUUCAAAAAGUAGACGAUCUAUACUCGUGUAGAUAAACUAAAACUUUUAUUCAAUUACAGCGGAACUCAUUACAAUGAUGAAUGGGAAAACUUUACUGUUGUACGACAGCUACACGUUCUACAAACGCUAUGAAAUGAAGAAGUUCACCAAAUGGAACUGCACCACGUAUCCUAGUUGUGACGCUUACGUUAACAUUGAUAAAGAAAUGACUGUGGUAGGAUACAAAACCCUUCACAAUCAUUCUGCGCGAAAAGUCAUUCGGACAUCUAAUGGACGCUAUACACGUUUAUAAAGUGGUACAACAAAAGCCCUCGAUCACUAUUCAGGGCUGUUCCAAAAUGAUCGCCGACCUUUGUUAAAAAUAGAACUUUAAGAAGAUGAAGAAUUUUGGAGUUAGGACCCUAAACAGUGCGACAGAAAGACAUAGUAUUUUUUAGUUACUUUAGUUUUUAUUUAAAUAUACAUAUUACAAUGUGCCUUCAAUUUAUAUUUUUUACAUUGUUGAAAUAUAAUAAUGGUAUCAAUCAAUUUGAGGGUAAAUAAUAGUUACCUCUAUGAGUCCAAAUGCACUAAAAUCUCAGUAGCCUCAUCUUUCGAUUGUCACUUUUUAAUUCAUAAAUACAAACACUGUCAAAUCAGUGAACCCUAAUAGACACUGAUUAUUAUGGAACGUUUAGAACUGGAGGCUCGGUCGUGCUGUCGUGCCUUUUCUUAAGAUUUUUACAAUUAAAAUUAUAAUUAUUUUUACAA